UACGAAGGGUGCAAGCGUUAAUCGGAAUUACUGGGCGUAAAGGGUGCGUAGGCGGUUCGUUAAGUCUGUUGUGAAAUCCCCGGGCUCAACCUGGGAAUGGCAAUGGAUACUGGGCGACUAGAGUGUGGUAGAGGGUAGUGGAAUUCCCGGUGUAGUGGUGAAAUGCGUAGAUAUCGGGAGGAACACCAGUGGCGAAGGCGACUACCUGGCCUGUUCUUGACGCUGAGGCGCGAAAGCUAGGGGAGCAAACGGG
rnacentral:rRNA from 1 species